rnacentral:rRNA from 1 species
GAUGAACGCUGGCGGCGUGCCUAAUACAUGCAAGUCGAGCGAACGGACGAGAAGCUUGCUUCUCUGAUGUUAGCGGCGGACGGGUGAGUAACACGUGGGUAACCUACCUAUAAGACUGGGAUAACUUCGGGAAACCGGAGCUAAUACCGGAUAAUAUUUUGAACCGCAUGGUUCAAAAGUGAAAGACGGUCUUGCUGUCACUUAUAGAUGGAUCCGCGCUGCAUUAGCUAGUUGGUAAGGUAACGGCUUACCAAGGCAACGAUGCAUAGCCGACCUGAGAGGGUGAUCGGCCACACUGGAACUGAGACACGGUCCAGACUCCUACGGGAGGCAGCAGUAGGGAAUCUUCCGCAAUGGGCGAAAGCCUGACGGAGCAACGCCGCGUGAGUGAUGAAGGUCUUCGGAUCGUAAAACUCUGUUAUUAGGGAAGAACAUAUGUGUAAGUAACAGUGCACAUCUUGACGGUACCUAAUCAGAAAGCCACGGCUAACUACGUGCCAGCAGCCGCGGUAAUACGUAGGUGGCAAGCGUUAUCCGGAAUUAUUGGGCGUAAAGCGCGCGUAGGCGGUUUUUUAAGUCUGAUGUGAAAGCCCACGGCUCAACCGUGGAGGGUCAUUGGAAACUGGAAAACUUGAGUGCAGAAGAGGAAAGUGGAAUUCCAUGUGUAGCGGUGAAAUGCGCAGAGAUAUGGAGGAACACCAGUGGCGAAGGCGACUUUCUGGUCUGUAACUGACGCUGAUGUGCGAAAGCGUGGGGAUCAAACAGGAUUAGAUACCCUGGUAGUCCACGCCGUAAACGAUGAGUGCUAAGUGUUAGGGGGUUUCCGCCCCUUAGUGCUGCAGCUAACGCAUUAAGCACUCCGCCUGGGGAGUACGACCGCAAGGUUGAAACUCAAAGGAAUUGACGGGGACCCGCACAAGCGGUGGAGCAUGUGGUUUAAUUCGAAGCAACGCGAAGAACCUUACCAAAUCUUGACAUCCUUUGACAACUCUAGAGAUAGAGCCUUCCCCUUCGGGGGACAAAGUGACAGGUGGUGCAUGGUUGUCGUCAGCUCGUGUCGUGAGAUGUUGGGUUAAGUCCCGCAACGAGCGCAACCCUUAAGCUUAGUUGCCAUCAUUAAGUUGGGCACUCCAAGUUGACUGCCGGUGACAAACCGGAGGAAGGUGGGGAUGACGUCAAAUCAUCAUGCCCCUUAUGAUUUGGGCUACACGCGUGCUACAAUGGACAAUACAAAGGGCAGCGAAACCGCGAGGUCAAGCAAAUCCCAUAAAGUUGUUCUCAGUUCGGAUUGUAGUCUGCAACUCGACUACAUGAAGCUGGAAUCGCUAGUAAUCGUAGAUCAGCAUGCUACGGUGAAUACGUUCCCGGGUCU